rnacentral:rRNA from 1 species
AUUGAACGCUGGCGGCAGGCCUAACACAUGCAAGUCGAACGAGUGGCGGACGGGUGAGUAAUGUCUGGGAAACUGCCUGAUGGCGGGGGAUAACUCCUGGAAACGGUAGCUAAUACCGCAUACCAUCGGAGGUGCCCAGAUGGGAUGAGCUAGUAGGUGGGGUAAAGGCUCACCUAGGCGACGAUCCCUAGCUGGUCUGAGAGGAUGACCAGCAACACGGGAACUGAGACAAGGUCCAGACUCCUACGGGAGGCAGCAGUGGGGAUUAUUGCACAAUGGGCGCAAGCCUGAUGCAGCCAUUCCGCGUGUAUGAAGAAGGCCUUCGGGUUGUAAAGUACUUUCAGCGGGGAGGCGUUACCCGCAGAAGAAGCACCGGCUAACUCCGUGCCAGCAGCCGCGGUAAUUC